AGAACGUCUAAUACUACUCACAUAGAAAACCUAUUCUACCUCUUCUCCUCCAUAUUGUGCUACCUUUACAUUCCAAAAUUCUUGUGUUCUCAUUUCAUUCCAGCCAAAUACACACCUAAAAUCAUCACCACCUUCUCCUUGUGUAGUACAUCAUCAACCGUAAGGGUGAAUAUGAUUCUAAGACUUUGGGAAAAUCAAAGGAUAGCAAAAAGAAUAAAAGUGUUCGAGUGGUUUGAAUGGUUGAUCGAGUGUUGGAAAUCACAAUUCGAAAUCCCUGCCACCUCAAUCAUUCGUUGGUAGUGACGAGAUAACAAGUCUUAAGCAGCGGGAUUUGAGGUAUUAGACAGGAAAGUAUGUAUAGUGAGCAGGGUCAGUUCUGGUACGUAUACUGUGAGCGGCUACGGACGGGCAAACGAUCUAGAACACUGGUGGUGCCUUAGUUUUAUUUUAAGAAGUUGAUAAAUCUAACACAGUGGAAAUGCAUUAUUUAAAAGUAUUUAUUUACUGUAUCUUGUUUUACAAAUGAAGGAUCCUUCUCUGUUGCAUUUUGAUUUUUAAAAUCCUCUGUUGUAUUUAAAUUAUUAUUUUUUUUCAUCUU